AGGAUGAACGCUGGCGGCGUGCCUAAUACAUGCAAGUCGAGCGGCAGCGCGGUCUUCGGACUGGCGGCGAGCGGCGGACGGCUGAGUAACGCGUAGGAAUAUACCCCAAAGUGAGGAAUAAGCACCAGAAAUGGUGUCUAAUACCGCAUGUGAUCUAAGGAUUAAAGCUUCGGCGCUUUGGGAAUAGCCUGCGUAUGAUUAGCUUGUUGGUAAGGUAAUGGCUUACCAAGGCGACGAUCAUUAGCUGGUCUGAGAGGAUGAUCAGCCAGACUGGGACUGAGACACGGCCCAGACUCCUACGGGAGGCAGCAGUAGGGAAUUUUCCACAAUGGGCGAAAGCCUGAUGGAGCAACGCCGCGUGCAGGAUGAAGGCCUUAGGGUUGUAAACUGCUUUUGUUAGUGAGGAUUAUGACAGUAACUAGCGAAUAAGGAUCGGCUAACUCCGUGCCAGCAGCGC
rnacentral:rRNA from 1 species